ACAGAGGUGGCAAGCGUUGUUCGGAAUUACUGGGCGUAAAGGGCGCGUAGGCGGUCUCGUAAGUCCCGCGUGAAAUCCCCCGGCUUAACCUGGGAACUGCGUCUGAUACUGGACGGCUCGAGUAUGGGAGAGGGAUGUAGAAUUCCAGGUGUAGCGGUGAAAUGCGUAGAUAUCUGGAGGAAUACCGGUGGCGAAGGCGGCAUCCUGGACCAUUUACUGACGCUGAGGCGCGAAAGCUAGGGGAGCAAACGGGA
rnacentral:rRNA from 1 species